rnacentral:rRNA from 1 species
UACAGAGGGGGCAAGCGUUAUUCGGAAUUAUUGGGCGUAAAGGCGCGUAGGCGGCCUGGCAAGUGGAAGGUGAAACUCCCUCGGCUUAACCGAGGAACUGCCCUCCAAACUGCUUGGCUUGAGUCCGGGAGAGGUGAGUGGAAUUCCCCAGUGUAGCGGUGAAAUGCGUAGAGAUCCGGAAGAACACCGGUGGCGAAGGCGGCCUGCUGGCAGUAGCUGACACUGAGGCGCGACAGCGUGGGAGC